AGAGAGAGAGAGAGAGAGGGGUAAAUAAAUGGAAAUACUCACGAGAAAAGAAAGGCAAGGCAACGAAGGGAAAGAAAAAGGAAGCCUCUCAAGUCUCAAAUAGUGAAAGGAAUUUAAUUAAUCCCGAAUCCCGCAGUAAAUUAACGCGAUCGAAUCGAAAGUAAAUAUAGAAGCUGCGUUUUGGAGUGCGUUGAAUGACUGUGGAGGAGUGACAAAGUGAAUCAGUAUUAUUUUUUAGGAUGGUGCACUGCGGAGCACCAGAGGGUGAGUGUGUGAGAAGCACGUGUCAGUUCUGUUAUGAAUACGUACUUGCGGAAGGCGGGGUUGGAAUUGGAGCGAAACCAAACAAACACUCCUAAGUCUUCCCCUUUUGAAAUUCCAUUUAUGAUUAUUUCAUUCUCAUGUUUCCUGCGUGA